GGCUGGUCCAAUGGUAGUGGGCUAUCAGAACUUAUUAACACUAGUGUCACUAAAGUUGGUAUACAAUCCCCCACUGCUAAAUUUGACUGGCUUUAA
ensembl:Y_RNA Y_RNA Y RNA